CGCAUCUGUGCAUGCAGCAUAUCAUAAGCGGAGGAAAAGAAACUAACAAGGAUUCCCCUAGUAACGGCGAGUGAAGCGGGAAGAGCUCAAAUUUGAAAUCUUAAAGGGUUUCCCUUUACGAAUUGUAGUUUAAAGAAGUGUUUUCUGUUGAGGUUUUGGUAAAAGUUCUUUGGAAUAGGACAUCAUAGAGGGUGAGAAUCCCGUAUUUGACCUUUACUUUCAACUUUGUGAUACACUUUCAAAGAGUCGGAUUGUUUGGGAAUGCAGUCCAAAAUGGGUGGUAAAUUUCAUCUAAAGCUAAAUAUUGGCGAGAGACCGAUAGCGAACAAGUACCGUGAGGGAAAGAUGAAAAGAACUUUGAAAAGAGAGUUAAACAGUACGUGAAAUUGUCAAAAGGGAAGCGUUUGACACCAGUGUUGUUUUUCUGAAAUCAAUUAAAGAACUGUUUAUGCUAAGCUGUUUAGACUUUAUCAGCUAUCUGUUUAGUUUUGAGCUUUUCUUUAAUGCACUUUUCAGUUAACAAGUCAACAUCAAUUUCUUUUGCUGUAAAAAAGCUUGAGGAAGGUGGCUUGAGAUUCGUCUUAAGUGUUUAUAGCCUCUUGCCUAUGCAGUCGGAGAGAUUGAGGUCUGCAGCGUAGAUCCUUCGGGGCUAAAUGCAUUUGUGCUAAGUUAUAGCAUUUUAUAGACAACUUGUUGACUAUGAUUUGUCUUGUAGCUUACUCGCUUAUGUUAUUUUACCUACGCUUAGGAUGUUGAGUCGUAGAGCACGCAG
rnacentral:rRNA from 1 species